rnacentral:rRNA from 1 species
UACGUGGGAUGCGAACGUUAUCCGGAUUUACUGGGCGUAAAGAGUUCGUAGGCGUUUUUCUAAGUUUCAUUUGAAAUACCGAGGCUUAACUUCGGGACCGGAUGAAAUACUAGAAGGAUUUGAGUCGGUUAGGGGGUACUGGAAUUGACAGUGUAGCAGUGAAAUGCGUUGAUAUUGUCAAGAACACCAAGGGCGAAGGCAGGUACCUGGGACCGCACUGACGCUGAGGAACGAAAGCUAGGGGAGCGAAAGGG